GACGAACGCUGGCGGCGUGCUUAACACAUGCAAGUCGAACGGAAAGGCCCUGCUUGCAGGGUACUCGAGUGGCGAACGGGUGAGUAACACGUGGGCGAUCUGCCCUGCACUUCGGGAUAAGCCCGGGAAACUGGGUCUAAUACCGGAUAGGAGCCAUUUUUAGUGUGAUGGUUGGAAAGUUUUUUCGGUGUAGGAUGAGCUCGCGGCCUAUCAGCUUGUUGGUGGGGUAAUGGCCUACCAAGGCGGCGACGGGUAGCCGGCCUGAGAGGGGGGACGGCCACAUUGGGACUGAGAUACGGCCCAGACUCCUACGGGAGGCAGCAGUGGGGAAUAUUGCACAAUGGGCGCAAGCCUGAUGCAGCGACGCCGCGUGGGGGAUGACGGCCUUCGGGUUGUAAACUCCUUUCGCUAGGGACGAAGCUUUGUGCGACGGUACCUAGAUAAGAAGCACCGGCUAACUACGUG
rnacentral:rRNA from 1 species